CUACGGGUUGCAGCAGGUAGGAAUCUUUUGCAAUGCGCGCAAGCGUGACAAAGCGAGCCAGAGUGCUUUUCAAUUGCAACGCUUUUUCUAAAUGUAAAAAGUUUGGCGAAUAAGGACUGGGUAAGACGAGUGCCAGCCGCCGCGGUAAUCCUCGCGGUCCAAGUCGCAGCCAUCAUUAUUGGGUCUAAAACAUCCGUAGCUUGUUUAAUAAGUUCCUUGUGAAAUCUUGUCUCUUAAGGGCAAGGCGUGCAGGGAAUACUGUUAAGCUAGAGACUGGAAGACGUAAGAAGUAUGUUCAAAGUAACGGUAAAAUGUGUUAAUCUUGGACAGACUCACAACAGCGAAGGCAUCUUACGAGGACAGUUCUGACAGUAAAGGAUGAAGGCUAGGGGCGCAAAACGGAUUAGAUACCCUUGUAGUC
rnacentral:rRNA from 1 species